UACAGAGGGGGCGAGCGUUGUUCGGAAUUACUGGGCGUAAAGGGCGCGUAGGCGGCCAACUAAGUCAGACGUGAAAUCCCUCGGCUCAACCGGGGAACUGCGUCUGAUACUGGAUGGCUUGAAUUCGGGAGAGGGAUGCGGAAUUCCAGGUGUAGCGGUGAAAUGCGUAGAUAUCUGGAGGAACACCGGUGGCGAAGGCGGUGCUCUGGGCCAGUACUGACGCUGAGGAGCGAAAGCGUGGGGAGCAAACAGG
rnacentral:rRNA from 1 species